ensembl:lncRNA
GUAGGGUACAGCUGGCGUGCCGUGUGAAUACGCAUAUUUUUUCAUUUAUAUUCAUUCAAAAUAUUAGCAUACUAUUUUAAAACGAAAGAGGCUGGUGUUUUGUUUUAUAUAAUUUGUUUAUAUUGUUCAGUAGUAUACGCCUACAUGAGGCCGUAGCACAGUUAACAGACGAGCUGAGGUGGUGACGUCAUCGAGUCCGCUGCUGUUCCAAUUGCAGGUGCGUACUCCCGUCCUCGGAGGUUUGUACUUGGAAGUCCGGACUUGCCAAGCGCAAACUUCCGUACUUGGUAUUGAGAGACGGCUAGACUCUCCUCAGAGGGCUUCAGGGGUUGCUAUGGGUUUAGCAUCCCUGCCAUUUAGCAAACACACACAGACAAACACACGGACAGACACACACACGGACAGACACACACAUUAGCAGGUGGUCACCUUUGGGAGGGGGGUGGGUGGUAAGAGAAGCUAGUAGCUCAUUAACUAGGCGUAGAAAGGGAGGUGAAUGAUUACAAAAGCACCCAUGCACACACAUACACACACACACACACACAGUUGUCCCCCAGGAGGUGAUGUCGGCAUGGCGUCACAGGUAGGGGGGGUAGCUGAGCGUCGCCGUGACUACGGAUACCUCUACGCUCAGAGAGUCAGUCACCCCUUCAGGAAUACUUUGGCCGGAGAUAGAGGCGCGACCGACGUCGCCCACAACCAGCCUGGAGCUCUGAUACCUGAGCUCUGAUACCGUUUAAUAUAACUUCCUGUUUAGUAUUAUGGUUAGUAUACUCAGAUUGGACUAGUUUGGAGCAGACAUACAGGUGCCAGGCCGUCUCCUCUGGGACAGAACGCCCCCAGUGUGGAGCAGAGACGGGUGCCAGGCUGUAUCCUCUGGGACAGAACGCGCCCAGCGUGGAGCAGACAGACAGGUGCCAGGCCGACUCCUCUGGUAUAGAACGCCUCUAGCGUGGAGCAGACAGACAGGUGCCAGGCUGACUCCUCUGGGAUGGAGCCUGAACUCAGAGGGGAGUCCGGCGCCCCAGAGCCUGAGGCAGGGGAGGACUACCGCCAGUACCUGUGCAGGUUUCUAGGAAAGGAGAGGGCGGAUUACUUCCUGGGGUCGUCAUCUGAUCAUCUACGACCUUCAACCUGGGACCCUACGAUGACCUCUGCCAACAGGGAGCCGGUGAGUGCUGUUGCAUUCUGGGAGGCUCUGAGAGAAGGCUCUGCAGUUACAGAGGGGAACUGCCGUAAAA